rnacentral:rRNA from 1 species
AGAGUUUGAUCCUGGCUCAGAACGAACGCUGGCGGCGUGCCUAACACAUGCAAGUCGAGCGAGAAAGCCCGCAAGGGUGAGUAAAGCGGCGCACGGGUGAGUAACACGUGGGUAAUCUGCCCUAGAGUCCGGAAUAACUCGCCGAAAGGCGUGCUAAUGCCGGAUGAGACCACGGGAGCCUCGGCUCCUGCGGGAAAAGGUGGCCUCUGUACACAAGCUAUCGCUCUAGGAUGAGCCCGCGGCCCAUCAGCUAGUUGGCGGGGUAACGGCCCACCAAGGCUACGACGGGUAGCUGGUCUGAGAGGACGAUCAGCCACACUGGAACUGAGACACGGUCCAGACUCCUACGGGAGGCAGCAGUGGGGAAUCUUGCGCAAUGGGCGAAAGCCUGACGCAGCAACGCCGCGUGUGUGAUGAAGGUCUUCGGAUCGUAAAGCACUGUCGCGAGGGACGAAUAAGGGUCGGGCUAACAUCCCGGCACGAUGACGGUACCUCGAGAGGAAGCACCGGCUAACUCUGUGCCAGCAGCCGCGGUAAUACAGAGGGUGCAAGCGUUGUUCGGAAUUAUUGGGCGUAAAGCGCGUGUAGGCGGCUUUGCAAGUCGGAUGUGAAAGCCCUCGGCUUAACCGAGGAAGUGCGUUCGAAACUGCCGAGCUUGAGUACCGGAGAGGGUGGCGGAAUUCCCGGUGUAGAGGUGAAAUUCGUAGAUAUCGGGAGGAACACCAGUGGCGAAGGCGGCCACCUGGACGGAUACUGACGCUGAGACGCGAAAGCGUGGGUAGCAAACAGGAUUAGAUACCCUGGUAGUCCACGCUGUAAACGAUGAGCGCUAGGUGUUGUGGGUGUUGACCCCCGCAGUGCCGCAGCUAACGCAUUAAGCGCUCCGCCUGGGAAGUACGGCCGCAAGGCUAAAACUUAAAGGAAUUGACGG